UGACCUACGGGACGCAGCAGUGGGGAAUAUUGGGCAAUGGGCGCAAGCCUGACCCAGCAACGCCGCGUGAAGGAAGAAGGCUUUCGGGUUGUAAACUUCUUUUCUUGGGGACGAAGAAAGUGACGGUACCCAAGGAAUAAGCCACGGCUAACUACGUGCCAGCAGCCGCGGUAAUACGUAGGUGGCAAGCGUUAUCCGGAUUUACUGGGUGUAAAGGGCGUGCAGCCGGAGAGACAAGUCAGAUGUGAAAUCCACGGGUUCAACCCGUGAACUGCAUUUGAAACUGUUUCCCUUGAGUGUCGGAG
rnacentral:rRNA from 1 species